rnacentral:lncRNA from 1 species
CCUGGCCUCCAUCUUGAAAACGGAAAAUAAAAACAGCAGACCUAUGAAGGUCGAAGGGGAAGAAAAGCUGUAUCGAUUGUUGAGAUCUGGCGACUUGUUUAAAUUUCAUCAGCCUCACUUCUAUGAACUCUCAGGCCUCACGUGUACCAGCUCUCUGCUCUCCUUUGCCUUGGGACGUUCCAUCCCUGGAAGUUUCCCUGCCCACAUCUUUGUAGAGAGUCCAUUCUCCAAGCUUCAGUGUGUCAUCUGUGAGGACCGUGACCCACCUGGUACAUCGCCUCAGGGCAUUCAUUUCAGGCUCCUUCUAAAUGGCCAAGGUAAACCUCAGGUUCUCCUCCUGCCUUUUGCUAAGUAUAUGUCUUGAUGACAAGCCUUCUGCUGAUGAGCUGUGUUUCUGGACCGAUCAUGGUAGAAGUCAAUUAACGUGUCCCUCACUUGGGGUUUCUCAAGGCUGCACUGAUGAGGAAACUGAAACAGAAAAUCCAGAGUAAAUUCCACCAGGCCACACAGCAAGGUCUGAUAGAGCCAGGAGAGACUUUAUGAAAUCCAGACUCUCACACUAAUGCUCUAUCAGCUAGACCUCCAUGUGAGUCUCCCCAAUGUAGGUAGGAAGUGCUUUCCCUAAAAUGCUCAUAAAGCAAAUCAGAGCAAUGCUGCAUUCCAUGUGAUUUCUAAUUUGAAAUGCAAACAAUUGCCAAUUUGUUUGACUUGUAUUUAUAAUUAUUUCCUUGUGAAUUACUCAUCACUAAAUGCUUUAUAAAUAUUUUCUCUUUUUUUCCUCAAUGUCUAUGGAAUGAUCACAGCAUAGAAAAUGUUGGCUUUCAAGGAUUUAUUAAUAUCUCCUUUUGAAAUAACAUGUAUUUGUAAGACAGAAUAAAAUCACUUUAAAGAAACAAA